UUACGGUACGGGGUGUUUUUCGUGAUUAGCGUGUGGUCCACUUAUCCCGCUUAAGAAAAAGUUAUAUGCGGGAAGAAAUGACUAAACUUUGUGAACUGCGUACCAUAAAGUAAUAGUCUGGAGACGGUUACUGCAUAUGUCAGCAUCACAACGCACUCUUUCAGAAAGCUGAAUCUGUGAGGCAGUGGCUUGUGCGCAGUAACAUUACUGAAAUGAACUGGUCUGCCUGGAGUGGCGAUCUGGACCCAACGGAGCAACUUUGGGAUGAGUUAGAACGUAUACUACACUCCAGGCCAUUAGAUCCAAAAUCUUCUCUGGUUUCAAGUUCUGAGGAACAAUGGACUGCCAUUCCUCCACAGGCAUUCAGACACAUCGUUGAAAUUGUCCCCACCAGAGCCCAAGCCGUCAUAAAGACGAAGACUGGAUACACACCACCUGAAUGUCCACUAAUACUUGUCUAGAUACAUUUUAUAAAAUGGUGUAUUAAUAGACAAACAUUGUGCAACCUCUUUAGACAGCUAAGCACGCACCUCUGAAGCAAAGUGAUUGGUCUGACAUGCUACUGGAACUAAACUGAAUUAAUUUCUCUGUUACAAAUGUUCUGUGUGUGUGUGUUUUAAACGUAGUCUUCGAAUAUGUUUCUUUUAAAUGUAAAAAAUACGCAGAAAACCUGUAUGUAUAAUGUCAGUAAGUACUUAUGCGAACAACAAUAAUACUUUUCAAUUUCCAACGUUUUAUGUACUUAUAAGACGGACGCUCAUGUGCGGCGUUGGCCUUUGCCCGACAAGAUUAAAGCCUUCAUGCACACUCCUACAUCUAACCAGGAGACUUUCGAGAGAGUGUUUACACUUAACACUGCAAUGUGCCUAUUACAAGACUUGGACGAACAACAACAACAAUAACAACAACAAUAAUAAUAAUAAUAACUAAUGUUACAGAAAUGAGUACAGGUAUUACAGAAAUGAGUACAGGUAUUACGGUAAUUUCAGUCUUAUUAAGUUUUGCUGUCCGCCUUGUAAGCUGAGCGGUCAGCUCGACGGAAUGUCAUGCUAAGGGGCCCGGUUCGAUUCCCGGGUGGGUAGGAGAUUUUCUCCGCUCAGGGACUGGGUGUUGUAUUAUCAUCUCAUCUCCAUCGACACGCAAGUCGCCGAAGUGGCAUCAACUCAUAAGACUUGCACCGGGCGAACGGUCUACCCGCCUGCCAUUCGCCUGCAAUCAUUCGUAAGGACUACAGAAAAUCUAAAUCAGGGUGGUCUAAAGGCAACUUGAACCAAGCUCCUCUCGAAUAAAAGUCCACAUUCUUAAUCACUGCGGAAGCUCUUCCUGUGACUGCAAAGCAACAGAAUAUUGCUUUGAAUUCGUUUGUAGUUUGCAAGUACUGAACAUUUAAAUGCAAGUGAAACUUUGUGUCCGGCUGGGACCCGAUUUUCAGCUUUUCGCGAGUAGUCGCCUUAACCACUAUGCUAUCUGAUUUCGCUUCCAGGCUUGACUGAGAUUUUCAUUUUCAGUUAUUUUUCCUUCAAUUACUUCUGAACUUCACGAAGAAAGAUUCUCCCACAGCGUGCGUGGCAAACAACAGGGACAUCGCACAUUCAGAAUUUCUGCCUUGUUACCUGUGGUAUCAUUUCAUGUUAUUGCAUCUUCACUGUUUUCUACUCAACGAUCCAUUCAUUUCAUUUCAGUGAAUAUGAAACACUUUACAACAUGUACUCACACAACUAAUUCCUGUUCUGUUUUCAUCUUUCCCCGCGGAAGUAAGUAUAUAUAAUACAUAGCGGUAUCUCAGCGUGAGAACGAGCUGGCCACACAACCUUCUUCCCGAACACUACUUCCCAUUAAUCUGAGGCCUCCGAACUAGAGAAUCCCAGCGGAUGGGUCAACAGUGCAAUGUUAAAAAUGUGCUUAGUACUGGCUCCACCUACAAAGACGCCUAAUGCCAUGACGAUGCGUCAUAAGAAACAAAUUCUUAGAGGAAA